rnacentral:rRNA from 1 species
AUUGAACGCUGGCGGCAGGCCUAACACAUGCAAGUCGAACGAGUGGCGGACGUGUGAGUAAUGUAUGGUAAACUGCCUGAUGGAUGGGGAUAACUACUGGAAACGGUAGCUAAUACCGCAUACCAUCGGAUGUGCCCAGAUGGGAUUAGCUAGUAGGUGGGGUAAAGGCUCACCUAGGCGACUAUCCCUAGCUGGUCUGAGAGAAUGACCAGCAAAACUGGAACUGAGACACGGUCCAGACUCCUACGGGAGGCAGAAGUGGGGAAUAUUGCACAAUGGGCGCAAGCCGGAUGCAGCCAUGCCGCGUGUAUGAAGAAGGCCUGCGGGUUGUAAAGUACUUUCAGCGGGGAGGCGUUAACCGCAGAAGAAGCACCGGCUAACUCCGUGCCAGCAGCCGCGGUAAUAC